GACGAACGCUGGCGGCGUGCUUAACACAUGCAAGUCGAACGGAAAGGCCCUGCUUUUGUGGGGUGCUCGAGUGGCGAACGGGUGAGUAACACGUGAGUAACCUGCCCUUGACUUUGGGAUAACUUCAGGAAACUGGGGCUAAUACCGGAUAGGAGCUCCUGCUGCAUGGUGGGGGUUGGUAAGUUUCGGCCGUUGGGGAUGGACUCGCGGCUUAUCAGCUUGUUGGUGGGGUAGUGGCUUACCAAGGCUUUGACGGGUAGCCGGCCUGAGAGGGUGACCGGCCACAUUGGGACUGAGAUACGGACCAGACUCCUACGGGAGGCAGCAGUGGGGAGUAUUGCACAGUGGGCGGAAGCCUGAUGCAGAAACGCCGCGUGCGGGAUGACGGCCUUCGGGUUAUAAACCGCUUUCGCCUGUGACGAAGCGUGAGUGACGGUAAUGAGUAAAGAAGCACCGGCUAACUACGUG
rnacentral:rRNA from 1 species